rnacentral:lncRNA from 1 species
UUGAAUUAAGUAUUUUUAAAAUAGUUUCUAAUCAUCUUUUAUAUCACAAUGAAGCUGGCCAAGGCUGUUUCAAUGAUCUCAACUAUUUUUCAUUUACAUAAACUUUAAACAUUGCUCGAUGGGAAGAUUUAAUUGAUAAAAUGGUCUUCGUUUAGAUUGAAGGGAUGUUGAUGGGUAUCAGUAAUAAUUAAAAUCACUUUUAUUGCCAAUCAUAUUUGUUUUCCAAAUUGGCGACACGCUUGCUGAAUUUCAAGAUGGUUUUCAUUGUCUGCUUUGAACAUUUUUUAUUUGGUAUAACUGUUUCCUCACUCUUGUUUUGAUGUUGAUCCCAUUUAUUUAAUCUUUUUUAGUUGAAAUCUUUAAAUUAUUCCUACUUUUUUACAACAUUAUUGGAAUACGGAUCAUCCUGAAUUUAUCUAGUUCGGUAUAUUUCAAUCAAAAGACCUGAUUGGGUAAAUCAUUAUAUUGUAUGUGCAUGGCCACACAUCGCUAUGGCACAUGUGAUUGUUUGUUUUGUAGUUAUGAAAUUUAAUAAAAACUGAAUAUUAAAUAGUUAUUGUUAAUCAUAACAACAAUUUAUUCAUAUUCACAGACUUUUUUCAUACAAUAAGUCAAUAACACUAUCUUUGUGCACAAAUAACUUCGUCAAUCAAACCAACUCUAUGUAGAAUGAUUGAUAAUAAUUCUUUCAAUGUUUAAAAUUUACAUUAAAUUCGUUUUUCUCUUAUUAGAAUGCAUGUAAGUACAUAUAUAUAGAAACUAACACAGAAGGUAUACUGGGUUACUUGUAUUAUCAUCAGUUCAUAUGUAAUCGGUUACCCAUGUUACGGGUUACCUCAAUAUUGGGUUACCUGUAUUAUCAGUUCCUAUGUAUUUGGUUACCUACCUGGUAUGCUACGGGUUACUUAAAUAAUGGGUUACCUGUAUUAUUUGAUUCCUAUCUAAUUGGUUAGCUGUGUUAUCUAGGUUACCUAUAUAAAGGGUUAUUUGUGUUACCUAGGUUACCCGUGUAACCUAGGUUACCUGUGUUACCUAGGUUACCUAGGCUACCUGUGUGACCUAGGUUACCUAGGCUACCUGUGUUACCUAGGUUACCUAUAGUAUGUGUUGCCUAGGUUACAUAUAUAAUGGUUAACCUGUGUUACUUAGGUAACCUUUAUAAUGUGUCACCUGUGUUACCUAGGUUACCUGUGUUACCUAGGCUACCUGUGUUACCUAGGCUACCUGUGUUACCUAGGCUACCUGUGUUACCUAGGUUACCUGUGUUACCUAGGCUACCUAUAGUAUGUGUCACCUGUGUUACCUAAGUUACAUAUAUAAUGGUUAACCUGUGUUACUUAGGUAACCUUUAUAAUGUGUAACCUAGGUUACCUAUAUAUUGGGUUACCUGUGUUACCUAGGCUACCUGUACUAUCUAGGUAACCUAUAUAAUGGGUUACCUGUAUAAUAUUAACAUGUAGACAGAACAACAUUACAGACCUUUAUACAGUGUAGGAGAUAAUGUGUAUGAACGUUUUAUGUUCCCCCGAAGUAGUGUAAUAGCCGAUUGUUUUGUACGUUAAUCCCUAGUUUCCCAGACAUACACAUGGUUCAUUGACUAUUCUGUUGAGUCCCUUUAAGAAAAUAUAUAUUAGUUCUUGUAACUGACAUGUUUUUGAGUUAAUGCAUUUACAUAGAAAUCAGAAAUAAAUCUUUUUUCUUUUUUCA